GACAGAGGGUGCAAACGUUGUUCGGAAUUACUGGGCGUAAAGCGCGUGUAGGCAGUUUCGCAAGUCGGGUGUGAAAGCCCUGGGCUCAACCUAGGAAGUGCACUCGAAAGUGCGAGACUUGAGUCCUGGAGAGGAAGGCGGAAUUCUCGGUGUAGAGGUGAAAUUCGUAGAUAUCGAGAGGAACACCGGUGGCGAAGGCGGCCUUCUGGACAGUGACUGACGCUGAGACGCGAAAGCGUGGGGAGCAAACAGG
rnacentral:rRNA from 1 species